GACGAACGCUGGCGGCGUGCUUAACACAUGCAAGUCGAGCGGUAAGGCCCUUUCGGGGGUACACGAGCGGCGAACGGGUGAGUAACACGUGGGUGACCUGCCCUCAGCUCUGGGAUAAGCCUGGGAAACUGGGUCUAAUACUGGAUAUGACUCCACGGUGCAUGUCGUGGGGUGGAAAGCCUUGUGCGGCUGAGGAUGGGCCCGCGGCCUAUCAGCUUGUUGGUGGGGUGANGGCCUACCAAGGCGACGACGGGUAGCCGGCCUGAGAGGGCGACCGGCCACACUGGGACUGAGACACGGCCCAGACUCCUGCGGGAGGCAGCAGUGGGGAAUCUUGCGCAAUGGGCGAAAGCCUGACGCAGCGACGCCGCGCGAGGGAUGACGGCCU
rnacentral:rRNA from 1 species